AGAGUUUGAUCCUGGCUCAGAACGAACGCUGGCGGCAGGCCUAACACAUGCAAGUCGAGCGCGUGUAGCAAUACACGAGCGGCAGACGGGAGAGUAACACGUGGGAACGUGCCCUUCAGUUCGGAACAACCCAGGGAAACUUGGGCUAAUACCGGAUACGCCCGCAAGGGGAAAGAUUUAUCGCUGAAGGAGCGGCCCGCGUCUGAUUAGCUAGUUGGUGAGGUAAUGGCUCACCAAGGCGACGAUCAGUAGCUGGUCUGAGAGGAUGAUCAGCCUCACUGGGACUGAGACACGGCCCAGACUCCUACGGGAGGCAGCAGUGGGGAAUAUUGGACAAUGGGCGCAAGCCUGAUCCAGCCAUGCCGCGUGAGUGAUGAAGGCCUUAGGGUUGUAAAGCUCUUUCGGCGGGGAAGAUAAUGACGGUACCCGCAGAAGAGC
rnacentral:rRNA from 1 species